AGGUGCUUAAAUGCAUCCAAAUUGGGUUAUUGUGCGUGCAAUCAGAUCCGGCAGACAGACCAACUAUGUCAACAGUGGUUGCAAUGUUAGGAAGCGACACCAUAACAGUUCCUCUACCAGCGAAACCUGCAUUUUAUGUUGGACGUUUUAUUGCAGAAUCAGUUCAACCCAAUUCAAGUGAUAAAAUAUGUUCUGUUAAUGAAGUUACGAUUUCAAACAUGUCACCUCGGUGAUUGAUUAGUCAUUCCAUCUUCAAUUUUUUCACUAUUACAAGAUAUGAUAGAUUCUAAAAAUUUUGUUAAGCCGCUCUUUUAGCUAAAUGUUCAGCAACAUUCCAGCAAAACACAGGGAGAUGUUCUUCC
rnacentral:lncRNA from 1 species